GGUACCUUGAAUUUGUAUAAAUUUAUAAAUUUACAGUGAAAUAAAUACAACAAACUUAAUAUUAUACAAAAAAUUGGAGUAAACUUCGGAAUAAAUGCUGUAUUAAAAGGCUGUCACAUACCAACGACAAUCGACCACAAAAAACGCUGCCGAAUUCGUUUUGUAUGAAAAAAUUUCAAAACGGCGACGUUCAUGUGUGAAAUUUUUUUAUACAAAAAGCUGUCGACGGCGUUUCUUACUAUCGGUCUUCGUAAGUAGGGGACAGCCAAUAGUCUUUAGUUGAUGGAAGCUUUGACGCCUUGAUUAAAAAAGCAGUGGCUUACUUCUUCUCAUUAUGUUAAAUGUAGUUAUCAAGUAAUUCAUAGAUAUUUUGUGGAUUUUUGCCUCAAAAAAGCUUCACUCUUAGAUACAACACUGUGAAAAAACGAUUUAGGGGAUAACCAAAUAACCUGUUAAAUACCUGCCAACUAAAAACAAUUAAUAAGGCCUCUGGGCUAAGAAACUAAGAAUAAGCGCCGAGGAUUCUUGCUAGAUCUGUCAAAUUUAUGUUUUAUUCAGUAAGUUGCUUCAAUUUGUCCAAUUUAUCGGAUUUAACACGUUCCACGCAAAGCCUAUAAACCGAAAUGUUAUCAAAAAUUUUAAAAAAUUUUUCGCUCUGAUUGUAGAAAUAGGUACCUACUAAUAGAUUAUUAUUAUCUUAUCAAAAGGCAUCGCAAAAUAUUAUAGGUAAAAGCCAAUUUUAAAUGGAGAGUACGAAAUAGUCGUAACUGCUCGUAACCUUAUGAAAGGCCUUACCAUAGUAGUAAAAAAAAAGAUUCAUUAAAAUAUUUGGUAUGUUCUUUCUUAUUUUUUCAAUUUUAAUAAUCAUGAUCCUCUUCGUUAAGAAGCACUAUGUUGUGGACCUGAAAGCAGCGUCUCAAAUAAUAGGCAACAACAAAAUGUACGACAAGCUGCAGUUUACACUAUAGCCACAGAUCCUCGACGAGGCAAUGAUUCUACAAGCAACUUUCCAGAUUUCUUUUGGGAUGUCUCACCGCCAAGGUCAAAUGAGCCAGCAAAGGACGAUAAGGAUUUGCCAAGCUACGAAGAAGUCAUGAGAAUAGAAAUGGCUAGACAAGUGGUUGAUUCAACAAUACAAGCUACUCCUAUUACAACUUCAACGACAACAAACACAGUUCAACAAACAUUACCAUCAUCACAACCGGUCAGAUUACCAGUUUAGAUCAAUAAAUAUUAUUUUUAUUUCUUUUUAACUUUGUAAGGUUGUAAGGAUGAAAAUGCUGUUUCAUCAAAUAUUUAAGGCUGAAUUUGUUUGUUAAAAAAUAAAAUGUGUAUAUUAUAAACUUUUAGGGAAAAUAAAAUUUUGUAUUUAAAUAUUAA